rfam:Felis catus isolate Cinnamon breed Abyssinian chromosome B4, whole genome shotgun sequence.
GUCUGGGUGGCUCAGUGGGUUAAGUGUCUGACUUCGGCUCAGGUUACGGUCUCACGGUCUGCGGGUUCGAGCCCCGCGUCGGGCU